rnacentral:rRNA from 1 species
UACGUAGGGUGCGAGCGUUGUCCGGAAUUAUUGGGCGUAAAGGGCUCGUAGGCGGUUUGUCGCGUCGGGGUUGAAAUCCACUGGCUUAACUGGUGGCGUGCGGGCGAUACGGGCAGACUGGAGUACUGCAGGGGAGACUGGAAUUCCUGGUGUAGCGGUGGAAUGCGCAGAUAUCAGGAGGAACACCGGUGGCGAAGGCGGGUCUCUGGGCAGUAACUGACGCUGAGGAGCGAAAGCGUGGGGAGCGAACAGG